UACGAAGGGGGCGAGCGUUGUUCGGAUUUACUGGGCGUAAAGGGCGCGCAGGCGGCUAUCCAAGUCAGGCGUGAAAGCCCCGGGCUUAACCUGGGAGGUGCGUCUGGGACUGGGUGGCUAGAGUUCGGGAGAGGAGAGUGGAAUUCCCAGUGUAGAGGUGAAAUUCGUAGAUAUUGGGAAGAACACCGGUGGCGAAGGCGGCUCUCUGGACCGAGACUGACGCUGAGGCGCGAAAGCUGGGGGAGCAAACGGG
rnacentral:rRNA from 1 species